GCUGGCCAUGCUGCCCUGGUCAGCUUCCCGCACAGACAGCCUCCUGUCACUUCACCUUGACUCUGCCUGUCCCUUUGCCUUAUUGGGACGUCCUGCCUUUGACAGCCACUGCUGCUCCUCACCCUGAAUGAGGAAGUAGGGCUGAGACUCAGCCGGCGAAAACGGCGCAGACCUCCAGAGGCCGGCAGCACUGGCGGCGAUAACCCGGAGCUGCGGAGACCUGGGCACGCCUGCUCCUGUUGAAGAUUGGAUCUGCAAGUACUCGUGGCGUAUCCUGGCGCCGCAACUGUAGGGGGUGGUUUGCUGCUUGCUCGGGUCGACCAGCAUCUCCCCGCGUUCUUCCAUCCCCGGGGUCUCGGAGCGAGCAGGGAAAACGUUUUCUGCGCCGGAGUGCCUGUGGCUCGGCGGCCAGGCUCAUGGAUCAUCGUUGGGGGCGUUCGUCUACCAUCCGCGGUCCUCUUGCUCCAUGCUCUGGGGCUUAGCCAGCCCGACCGAGUCAGUGCGCGGAGAGCUCGUUGGCGGGCGCGCCUGGGCUCUGUCUCCGGGCCUGGACGCGUUCUGAUCCCGCUGGACUUGAACCGUCAGGCUUGCGUGGCGAGAACGGGCCGUAUCUCUAGAACCCUGACGGCGAUCCGAACGUUUCCUCCGACCGUGGGGCCGCCUGGGGUACCGAUUGCGGCCUGAAAGUGAUGGUGCCCUGAACGUUGUCCUGGGGCCACAUUUUCCGGUUUUCCCGCCUCGGCUGGGAGUGGCCGUAUGUCUCCGACGGCGGACGUCUCAUGGUUCGGGCCGGCCAUCCCUGGAUCCCGGGCGUCCAACCCCGGAGUGGGGCCUGGCCCGACGCGCGGAACAAGGCGUCGCUGGGCUGCGCGGCCGGCCCUCCCCGCGGCACCGCUAUUCCCGGGCUCGGAUCUCCCGGCACCACGUCCUCGCCGCCUGGAGGCCCAGGUCCGCACCAGGGCCCGGGCGGCCGCUGUCGUGUCACCAUGGUCUGCGAUCGUCCGAGGCUGGGCUGCGUCUUCGCGGGGUUGCCUGUAGUCUCUUUUCACCUUGCGGACUCGGCAUUUGUGUGGACCACACGCGGGUCCCUCGCCGCGGUGACAACAGGGAACGCGGCAGGCGAGCAAGGAGGUCGCCUGAUGCGCGGUUCUAGUCCUGCCCGGGCUCGGUGGUCAGAGGCGCCCAACAAAUUGAGACAAAGUGGCCGGGGCCGUGCGGUGAGGGUAGCAAGGAGACGCGAGCCUGGGGCGGUUUGUAGUCCUAAAAGAGCCACUGAACACGCGCUGAGGGGAGAGAAAUGCAACCUGCGGCGAACUCGGAGGAAGCGACUGCGUAGUGGUGGUGCUCUGCUUUCUCCGCCCUGCGAUCCGAUUUUCUCCGCUGGCGUUCACGCUGUUUGGCUGGGGCUGGGCGGUCACCGCCGACAGGUCGACCAGAUGGCCAGACAACUUUGGUGCUUUAAAAUUUGUCCUAGUGUGAAUUUUGGUGGAUGACAGAUACUGAAAUCCACAUUGAUGGAAAUUACUAUUAUCCUUGUCACUCGACGUUACCAUCAUCCCACAAAAUAGCUAACUGUUCAAUUGAAGAUGACCAAAGAGGAGUUUCAGUAUGACCACUAAAAGCAGAGGAAACUCUCUACAACCCCUGAGGCCCUGUCCCAUGCCCCGCAGCAACCAUUCUGGAAAUCCAGACCCCACCCAAACUUGGCAGCAAUAGGCCUCAAGGUGCGGUCUUGGCCAGUGACUGAUUAGAAACAAAUCGGCGGGAAUAUGUUCCUCUAAGCAAGCCCCGUGGGCGCCCCUGUUCCUGUCACCCUGCCUCCAGCUUCCCUACAUCACAAGCUCUGAGCAGGACGUGCCUUCCUGUUUUGCUACACUCUUAAGCGUACCCCUAGCCUCAGCCUAACGCAAGUGGUGCUGGCUGACCCCUUACAAUGCAAAUAGUAGCUGCUCAAUGCACUUACUGAUUUGUAUUUUUAAAUAUUCAUAAACCUGAUAAUGGAAGGAUAAUGUUGAGUUAGGAACAUGUGUGACAUUGUUAACAAUUUCCUUAGUAUUCAGACAUUAAAUGUAGGGCUCCUUAUAACGUUUCCAUCCUAAAACUAAAGCUAUUGAAGGAGGGGAGAGAAGCUCAAGAAGCAAGUGAUAUACAAAUAUAUACAUAUAUAUAAUUAUUGGCUAAUUUGCAUGGUUGUAUGGCAGAAACCAACACAAAAUGGUAAAACAAUUUCCACCAAUUAAAAAAAAUUUAAAAGAGUACGAAAGCUAUUCGAAUGCUUUUUGUAUGCAAACAUAUUGCCACAUUAAUUUUUUCACUUUAGUAGGAUUCUAAAAUUGGAAUGACAAGAGGUUUAUUGACAUCUUUUAAAAAUUGCUUUCUAGAAACAUCCAUUUAUGUAUGUGUGUACUGCACACUAGCCUUCAUUUAAUUGCCA
ensembl:lncRNA